rnacentral:rRNA from 1 species
GUCGGCGACCGGCGCACGGGUGAGGUAACGCGUAUCCAACCUUCCCCAUAGUAGAGGAUAGCCCGGCGAAAGUCGGAUUAAUACUCUAUGUUGUGUCAAUGAGGACAUCUGAAUAACACUAAAGAUUUAGUCGCUAUGGGAUGGGGAUGCGUCUGAUUAGGUAGUCGGCGGGGUAACGGCCCACCGAGCCGACGAUCAGUAGGGGUUCUGAGAGGAAGGUCCCCACAUUGGUACUGAGACACGGACCAAACUCCUACGGGAGGCAGCAGUGAGGAAUAUUGGUCAAUGGACGAGAGUCUGAACCAGCCAAGUAGCGUGCAGGAAUGACUGCCCUAUGGGUUGUAAACUGCUUUUAUGCGGGUAAUAAAGUCAGGUACGUGUACCUGUUUGUAUGUACCGCAUGAAUAAGGACCGGCUAAUUCCGUGCCAGCCGCUGC